CUCUAAUUACCGAGUUUGCCACUUAACUACAAAAUGUUAGCAAUGUGUAUGUAUUGGAAAAAGCUGAAUAAAUUUGUAAGUGUAGUGGUGUAUGAGUUAGCUCCGUCUUGUAGGGUCCUUUCUGGAUAAUACGAGAUUAUAAAAUUAUCUUGUUUUAUACAACUAGAUUUUCGGUGUUAUUCCUAAGUUUAUCGAUAAUUUUGCGAAGAAGAAGGGACGUGUCAAAUCCCAGCAAGUCAUGAGUACUGAAACUCCAACACAUUCAAAGAAAUUUUAAUAACACCACUACAUACACACAUUUGCAACAAAGGGCAAAAUGUGCAUAAACAUUUACCUCAACUCUUCUAUCGUACAGCACCCUGAAUGAUAGAAAGAAACAACCAAAGUUCUCGUGUUUGAACAGGUUUUGUUUUGAGCUAUAUCAUGGCUGCUUGUGAAGUAUUAUUUUGCGUGUUUUAUUUAAAUCAGUGAUCUGCAGCCUAAUUAAAGUUUAAAUUAUUGAAGCAUGCAUUUUUAAAUAAGUAAAUCGUAAAAUAAAAGUUUUCUAAAGCCAAAAGUUGGAAUUGAAGAGUGCGACACAGUAAUACUUCAUUGCACUGCCAAUUCGAAGCUGACAAUAGAAGCUACGCCAACAAUGGUCAACAUCAUCGAAACCAUUGAAUACAUAUUUCAAAACUCAUAUGGCGCGUUAAAGGUACGCAAACUUAUUGGUGUCACUUAUGGUAGCAGCGAAGAUCUUUCGAAGCGAUGGAAUAUAUGCUGCAAGCAAAUCCAGGACAAUGGAUGCAAACGCUGCUACAUGGAACACAAAUCAUUUACACACCAGAUAUUAGGUUUAAAGUCACUUUUUACGUGCAAUUAAACCUUUUGCUCAACACAAGCACGAGAAUUGGAACGACAUGGUUUAGGUGAUUUUGUAACCGUUUAUUAUCGCGACGUGUGUCAAUUGGGUUUUGCCAAUGAGCAAAGCAGAUGCAGUAUUUUUGGACUUACCGGCACCUCAGUUGGCCAUACCAGCAGAUGAAACAUAGAAGUCAGAGGGUAAAUUUAAGUGAAUGUUUGUGAUCUUUAAAAGAAAAAAUUAAUAGCCCUAUUCUGAAAAAACCUCAUAACUGAGUUGUGAGGAAAAAUUUGUGAGGUUUCUCGUGACGUAUAUUUUGUGAGUCUAUUCUGGCUCGAACCUCAUAAGAAAAAAGCUUAAAAAAGUCACCAAUUGAGGUGAAAAGCAUAUUGCUGUCAAACAGUUGUUUCAAAAGAAAUAAAUUCAAAAUAAAUACAAAUUGAUGUAAAAUUUGUAAACAAAUGAAGCAAAUGAAAUUGCGUAUUUUCAGUCGAAAGUUAAAAAACAAAAGAAUUAUAAAACAAGUAAGGAAGAUAUGGUUUUUGACCCAUAAGUGGGCGGAACCACGACCAUUUACAAUUUUGUAUACCAUUUUGAGAGCAGCUGUUCUGUACCAUCUUCACAAUGAAAUUUAAGGUUUCUGGUGGUUUUCUUUACUGAACUUACUGCAUUUUUAGUAAUUUUCAAUAAACCCUUUGUAUGGGAGGUGGGCGUGGUUAUGACCCGAUUUCCUUCAUUUUUGAACGGUAUAAGGUAGUACCUUAAUGAAACGACUCUAGAAAGUUUCCUUUAUAUAGCUUAAUUAGUUUGCGAGAUAUGUUCAAAAAACUUAGUAGUGGGCGGGGCCACGCCCAAUUCCCAAAUAUGCAUCCAAAUAUGCCCCUUCCUGGAACAAUCCUUUGUACCAAAUUUUCGGUUAUCGCCAUUUUGUGGGCGUGGAAGUGGUCCGAUUACGCACAUUUUCGAACUUAACCUUCUUAUGGUGCCAAGAAAUACGUCUUCCAAAUUUCAUCAAGAUAUCUCAAUUUUUACUUCAAGUUACAGCGUGCACGGACGGACGGACAGACGUCCGGAUUUGAACUUUUUUCGUCAACCUGACCAUUUUGAUAUAUAUAACCCUAUAUCUAACUCGUUUAGUUUUGGACUUGCAACCAACCGUUAUGUGGACAAAACUAUAAUACUCUCGUAGCAACUUUGUUGCGAGAGUAUAAAAAUAACCUGGGUGUAAAUCAUCGUCUAUAGAGGCUGUGCGUCAGUGUCCUUUGCUUUACAAAAAUAAUGCGUCCUUAUCGGAUCGUAGAUGUGGUUGGCACGCUCAACAAAUGAAAAUGCAAGGUACGUCCAUAUUGCUCCAGUUUCGGUUAAACACAAUUAUUGGAUAACUGAACUUUUAUAGAGGCCAUUUUUUUCAAAGAACAAUUCCUCCAUGCUCGUUAUAGCACGCAAAUAUUUACACAUUUGUUUACAAAUAUUGCUAAAAACCAAAACAAACACAAAUAUUUUUGUAUUGUGAUGGCUGCUUUCACACGUCACAGAUAUUUGAGAAAAUUGUGAGCAUUUGAGCUUUUGAAUUUCCUCCAGCAUAAGGUAAUCAUCACAAAAUCCAAAAACCUCACAAUAGUGAGUGUGGUGAUUUUUGUGAGGGCAUGAGAAUAGGGCUGUAAAUUAAAAAACUAGGAGGACCUUUUUGAUUCAUUUUCACCUUGUAUUGAGGAAUCAUAACGUUGUUGUAUCACUUUACAAAGACAUGGAUUCACCGAAAUUAGUUCAAUGGAAAUACCACAGCAAGAGCAUGGAUGUUAUGACUAGAACGUUGUCAGUGCUAGAUUUAGAAUAAUAAACACCUAAAUGACAUGAUAUUUUCAAUAAAUAUGAAAUAUAAUUAAUGAUUUUGUUACUAAAUUCUUAUUUUGUAUUUUGGUUGAACUAACCGAAAAUAGCGGGUAUAGUUUCAGGUCUUUUGUGGGUCGCAGUACUGAAAGUGCACGUGGAGUUCUGGUUAGCAGUUUUGGUUCUUUCAUCCGUAAUAGUACCAAGAACAGUACUGAAAGUGCACAUGUAGUUUUCGUUCGCAGUUUUGGGUGUUUCAUCCGUGAUUGUAUCAAGAUCAUUCACAGAAUUGUGCAAGAGGUAUAUAUAAAUUGCCAUAUGAUGAAUGUAAUGUGCAAGAAAGGUAUGAGCGAUCUCACGUACACAAUAGUUUCGGGUACUUUUGUCAAUUCAACACGUUUGACAAUUGAUAAUCUCAUUUUGCUAUAUGUAAACGGUUUUGAAUUUUUGAAUGUAUUGAAGGAGCUUAGAACGAGAUUAUUUUCAAAUGUAAACAUACUAUUUGUUAUGACCAUGUAAAAUACAUAAGAGCGAACAGUAUAGAUGUAUAGUUCAUUCAGUAGGGAGGUAAGGAAAAUGGUGGCACCAUCAGGAAGUGGGGCGAGUAACGCCGAAACCUGACCAUUGUUCGAUAAUAUGAGCUUUUUAAAACAAUAUAUACAGCCCAGACCAAAUGGUUGCACCACAAACAUUUUAGAUGAUAUGUUUUCGCAGGAGCUGUUGGAGCCAAUUAGUUUUGAAUGUUCUCAGACUAAUUUAUCGUCGCCUUCGGAGUUGUCGUUUUCAACUCCGAUCCGGAAAAGAGUAAAGAAAACAAACAGCGAUGACGACGGCUGCUUCAAAGAAGCGUGCGAGCUAUACAAAAGCAUGUGUGCAGAGAGGAGCAAAGGCAGCGAGGCGGUGAGGUCGUUUGGUGUUAUGUUGACCUCUAUCAUGAACGAUAAUAACAUAAAACAAAUGAAAGCAAUACAAGUUUUAACAAAUUCAUUAUUUGCUAUUAAAUCGGAACCCGAAUAAUUUUUUUUUUUAUUUUUAAAUCAUUUGUUUGAUGUUUUAUACAUAUAUUGAAUUAAUAUGUAAAAAAGUUUAAAAGGCUUGUUACCUAGACGUAAGAAACAACGAUGUAUCUCAUUUUUCAAAAAUAGUUUUAAAAUGUUUAAAACGCUUGUUACCUAGACGUAAGAAACAACAAUGUACCUCAUUUUUCAAAAAUAGUUUUAAGAAUGUAUUUGAAAAAAAAAAUAAAACAAUUUGUUUUUAUAACC